rnacentral:ncRNA from 1 species
CACAUUGCCCGGGCGUAAUAAUCGACGAAAUGCUUCGGGGAUUUGAAAAUAAGAAUAGAUUCCCGAAUAGGGAAACAUUUCGAACUACUGCUGAAUCUAUUAGCAGGCAAGAGACAACAUGGCGCACUGAAACAUCUUAAUAGCCAGAGGAAAAGAAAGCAAAAGCGAUUUCUGUAGUUGCAGCGAGCAAAAUGGGAGCAAUAGGCACUUGCAGAAUGGACAUGUGUG